UGGGGGAUAUUGCACAAUGGGCGAAAGCCUGAUGCAGCGACGCCUCGUGGGGGAUGAAGGCUUUCGGGUUGUAAACCUCUUUCGCUAUCUAACAAGGCCCGCUUAGGGUGGGUUGAGGUUAGGUGGAGAAGAAGCGCCGUCUAACUACGUGCCAGCAGCCGCGGUAAUACGUAGGGCGCGAGCGUUGUCCGGAAUUAUUGGGCUUUUAGGGCUUGUAGGCGGCUUGUUGCGCCUUCUGUUAAAACGCGGGGCUUAACUUCGAGCGAGAAGUGGGAACGGGCAGGCUUGAGGGUGGUAGGGGUGACUGGAAAUCCAGGUGUAGCGGUGGAAUGCGAAGAUAUCUGGAGGAAAACCGAUGGCGAAGGCAGGUCACUGGGACAUUACUGACGCUGAGGAGCGAAAGAAUGGGUAGCGAACAGG
rnacentral:rRNA from 1 species